rnacentral:tRNA from 1 species
CGUGAUGCCUAGGUAAAUUAUUCUUAGGUCAUGAUCCUGUCACCUUAGGUCGAUCGGUACCUCAGAUUAAGAAUCAAAAAAGAGCUAAUUAACAAUUAGUCUCGCUAUUUGUACUUGGUUUCAGUUCCUAAACUUGUCUAGGUCACACCCCGCAAGUGUUACUCCUGGGCCAUUAGCUCAGGUGGUUAGAGCGCACCCCUGAUAAGGGUGAGGUCCCUGGUUCAAGUCCAGGAUGGCCCAUUCGGUGUUGGGGGUUUAGCUCAGUUGGUAGAGCGCCUGCUUUGCAAGCAGGAUGUCAGCGGUUCGAGUCCGCUAACCUCCACUGGCCAACCUCCCGCAGCGAGCCAAUUUGAGGAUCAUUGCGAGGCUGUGAUUUGGAUUAUUCCGCUGAAGGAACCUAGCUUCCUAUCAUUCCAAAUUUAGUAAUAUUUUUGGUUGACAGGAUGCUGGGCUCAUUGUAUUUCAAAUUGAAAUACAACGAUGAUCAGCAGAACCUUGACAACUGCAUAGGUAAGUCUGGAAAAGAAUAAAGCAUCUCAUGAUGCAUUUUUCUCUAGAUAAGAAAUAUUGUUUUCUAUUUAAAGUGGAAUUCAAUAUUGAUUUUCUUUAGAAACAUGUUUAAUUCUUGAGCAAGAGUCGAGACUCUGUAAUU